AUUUCUUAUUUUAUAUUGUAAAAUGAUGUAUAAAUAUAUUUUAGGGGGAUCGUGGACCCCCCGGAAGCCCUGGUCCAAGAGGAACCAAACUAUAUGCAAGUCUCACUCAGGACUUAAAGGGUGAUAUUGGAGAUCCAGGCGAAAUGGGCUGUCCUGGAAUACCUGGAAAUCCCGGCUCCUCCCACCACAGAGCUGAAAAGGGGGAUAAAGGUGAUGAAGGUCCUGAGGGAAAAUUAGGGAAGGAAGGAUUACCAGGAGUCGGUGGAUUAACGGUACAGUUUUUAAUUUUUUAUAUAUAAAUACAUUGAAUUAAAGCAGAAGAUCUUAA
rnacentral:lncRNA from 1 species